CGAGAAAGCCCGCAAGGGUGAGUAAAGCGGCGCACGGGUGCGUAACACGUGGGAAAUCUGCCCUAGAGUCCGGAAUAACUCGCCGAAAGGCGUGCUAAUGCCGGAUGAGACCACGGGAGCCUCGGCUCCUGCGGGAAAAGGUGGCCUCUGUAUACAAGCUAUCGCUCUAGGAUGAGCCCGCGGCCUAUCAGCUCGUUGGCGGGGUAAUGGCCCACCAAGGCUACGACGGGUAGCUGGUCUGAGAGGACGAUCAGCCACACUGGAACUGAGACACGGUCCAGACUCCCACGGGAGGCAGCAGUGGGGAAUCUUGCGCAAUGGGCGAAAGCCUGACGCAGCAACGCCGCGUGUGUGAUGAAGGUCUUCGGAUCGUAAAGCACUGUCGCGAGGGACG
rnacentral:rRNA from 1 species